CGGAGGGUGCAAGCGUUAUCCGGAUUUACUGGGUUUAAAGGGUGUGUAGGCGGACUUUUAAGUCAGCGGUGAAAUCUCCGGGCUCAACCCGGAAACUGCCAUUGAUACUAUUAGUCUUGAAUAUUGUUGAGGUAGGCGGAACGGGUCAUGUAGCGGUGAAAUGCAUAGAUAUGACCCGGAACACCGAUUGCGAAGGCAGCCUACUAAGCAAUUAUUGACGCUGAGGCACGAAAGCGUGGGGAUCAAACAGGAUUAGAUACCCUGGUAGUCCACGCCCUAAACGAUGAUUACUCGACGUUGGCGAUACACUGAUCAGCGUCCAAGCGAAAGCAUUAAGUAAUCCACCUGGGAAGUACGUUCGCAAGAAUG
rnacentral:rRNA from 1 species